GAUGAACGCUGGCGGCGUGCCUAAUACAUGCAAGUCGAGCGAACAGACGAGGAGCUUGCUCCUCUGACGUUAGCGGCGGACGGGUGAGUAACACGUGGAUAACCUACCUAUAAGACUGGGAUAACUUCGGGACACCGGAGCUAAUACCGGAUAAUAUAUUGAACCGCAUGGUUCAAUAGUGAAAGACGGUUUUGCUGUCACUUCUAGAUGGAUCCGCGCCGCAUUAGCUAGUUGGUAAGGUAACGGCUUACCAAGGCAACGAUGCGUAGCCGACCGGAGAGGGUGAUCGGCCACACUGGAACUGAGACACGGUCCAGACUCCUACGGGAGGCAGCAGUAGGGAAUCUUCCGCAAUGGGCGAAAGCCUGACGGAGCAACGCCGCGUGAGUGAUGAAGGUCUUCGGAUCGUAAAACUCUGUUAUUAGUGAAGAACAAAUGUGUAAGUAACUAUGCACGUCGUGACGGUACCUAAUCAGAAAGCCACGGCUAACUACGUG
rnacentral:rRNA from 1 species